rnacentral:rRNA from 1 species
ACGCCCUAUGUUACCAGCGGAUAAUGCCGGGGACGCUUAGGGGACUGCCCGCGUCAAGCGGGAGGAAGGUGUGGAUGACGUCAAGUCAUCAUGGUUCUUACGGGUCGGGCUACAAACGUACUACAAUGGCGUUAACAAUGGGUCGCAAUACUGCAAAGUAAAGCUAAUCCUUAAAAAACGCCUCAGUUCAGAUUGUCCUCUGCAACUCGAGGGCAUGAAGCUGGAAUCGCUAGUAAUCGCUGAUCAGAAUGCAGCGGUGAAUACGUUCCCGGGUCUU